rnacentral:lncRNA from 1 species
CUGCACAUUAUGCAACCACACCACGUGAGGAGCAUUAGAUGAUGACCUAUGUGAGCUCAUGCUUGGCUCAAAGCCACUAUUGUCUGUAAAAGGUAUAAUUACCCCGGUAAUGCUGCACAUAUGGCUCACUUGCACCCAGAGAGAGAGUAAAGCCAUGUCAAAACUGUCUACAAUUCCUCGAGUGUUUUUCCUGCUACCUGCCACUCACCCACCAACUCCCCUUGGACCUCAGUUAGAACCUGAGAAUUGGCAUAUCAAAUAGGAUCCUGAGAGUUGGAUGGGCAUUUUUGACUGCACUAGAAGAACUACACUUCCAGUCUCUGAGGGAUGCAGCACGUUGGUUGCAGGUGAGCGGGCAGUUGGCACAAGGGCAAGGUGACCACACCCUGAUUGAGUGGCUAUGGGCAGCCAUACGGACUAUGUGGGACGACACUGGUGAAAUACCUGAAACUAUUUAGAAGUGGUGGCAUCCCUCUUGUGGCGACAUUUGGCAGCAUGCAGUUGGGCCGUCAACAAAUCUAAGGUCCAAGGGCCUGCUUCAUUUGUCAAAUUCUUGGGAGUUAUCUGGUCGGGGUGGCUGACCAACAGAACACCAUCCAGGCCCUGAAAUACUUAUGUCCCCUGUAUGGUCACCCUCUGGCCGUUGAGACUGAGAGGAGAACACAUUUCACUGGAUGACACCUACAACACUUGGCAUAACAAAUGGACAUAAAGUGGAGAUUCCGUGUGCCAUACAACCUGCAAGCUGCAGGUUAACAUGCUCCAACUGCAUUGUGGACUGGGCCCACACCUAUGCUGAGAUGACCAAUGUUUCCAGCUGUUGGUUCUGUACCACCCUUCCAGCAGCAGCUGUGCCUUGGCACAUGCAUUCAGCAUCUGCAGAGAACUGGACAUGGCUGGAGACUUGGGGUUCCAUAACAAUGCCUGGAACAUGAUGCAGCAAGCUUUGGACAAAGGACACUGCAAGACCCACAGCACGCCUGCCCCCUGGCUGGCCCAUAGUGUUUAUGAUGGGUGGGGCUGGCUCGUGGGGGAACAUGUAGUACCCCCAGCCCAAGCACCGCAGUGCAUAGAGCAACACUGUGGUAACACCACUGUGUGGGAUGGAUACCCAUCGCAGCCUGUGUAAACAUAACACAUGUCAUCACACUGAACAUAUGGUGGAACAAGCAGUCCCACCAAGGUUGGUCCCUGAUGGAUUUUGUGCCCCCUUAGGAGUUUAUGGGUCUGUGAGGACACAGGGUGGCCUUACCUACCAGCAGACGUUGUACCUGGGGGUGACCUUAUGUACCUGCCACUGUUCUCCUCAUGUUGCCCAGAUGCCUGCAUAAAUGGGAGGUGCUAUGCUCUCAGCUUCUGCGAUUGUGAUGAGCCCCCUGGUGGUUCUACCCCUUGACAAUGACUAUCCCUGGAGCAGGUGUCAUAACUGUAGAAGUACAAGUUACUGUUCUUGCACAGCACACCACUCAGGUUCUGAAUUCCACCUGAGUGGCACUCCUCCUGUUAACGGAUGAGGUUGAUUAGAUCAGAAAGGUGGUGUUGCAAAACUAAAUGGCCUUAAACAUAGUAACUGCUGCCUAAGGAGGCACCUGUGCCCUUUUAGGAACACAAUGUUUUACCUUUAUCCCUAACAAUCAGCAGAACAUAAUAGCAGCCCUGCGAGUGGGUCAUGGGAGAUUAAGGCAGUCAAGAGCCUUGCUGAUGAACCCCUGCAGAGAGGGUGGGCAUCCCUAGGCUCUGGCCUAUGCUGGGCCCUAAUAGUCAUGAGUGGCAUAGCUGGGAUCCUAGUAGUGAGCUGUUCCUCUCUGUAUUGUUGUUGUGAGUUAUGGAUUCAGGACUCUGCCCUAUGGGUAUGUGUUCCUGCCCAGAGGGUGCCCCUGGCCUAGAGCGUGGAAAGUAAGGGAAAUGGCUGUGCUUUAGUCAGGAGUAGGCUGGGGUAGACUUCCAGCGCAGCAUGACUCAGCAGGUUUGGAGUGCAGGUGCACAACCCCGCACAUUUAUGUAACCAUGUCACGUGAGUCACAUUAGGUGAUCAACCACAUGAGCUCGUGCUUGGCUUGGAGCCACUAUUGUCUGUAAAAGGUAUAAUUACCCUGCUAAUGCUCUACAUAUGGCUUGCUCAUGCCCAGAGAGAGAGUAAAGCCAUGUUGAAACUGUCUACAAUUCCUUGAGUGUUUUUCCAGCUACCCGCCACUCACCCACUGACUCCCCUCGGACCUCAGUUAGAACCUGACAAUAGCUUUUAAAGAUAUAAUGAGAUUGCAUACUUAAUAGACUACAGUAUAGAAUAAAGAUAACUUUUAUAUGCAUUGGGAAAACAAAACAAAUCCUAUGGUUCACUUUAUUGCAACAUUUGCUUCACUGGGGUGGUCUGAAACCGAACCUGCAGUAUCUCUGAGGUAUGCCUGUAUAUGCCCUCACAGCAACCAAUAUGUACUACAUAUUAUAGCAUUUGUCAUAUAUAGUUACAACUGACUGCUUCUCUGUCUCCAUUAUCAUACUUGAUGUCCCUGGAUUGUAAGAGCUAUAUAUUUCCCCAGCAGUUUUCCUAUUGUACAUUACAGUGAAAUUUUACUGUACAAAUAAAUGAAUAACUACAUAUAAAGGUCUUUUUUCAAUGCCUAGGAAAGAGUAGGGGGUCAAUAUAUUUCAAUUCUUUAUCAAUUUUCUCAGUCUGUAGUGAAGAUGAUGGUGUUACAAUCUCCUAGUAGAGUUCCCUCUGCUUUUUAUUUUGACCUUUUGCAUGAAGUACCAGGCCAUUAGGUGAAUCUUUUUUACUUAGAUCUAAGCCAAUUUUUACUGCUGAGUUUCAGAACCCAAACCCCAAUAAUCUCCUCAUAAUAGGAGAUUAAGUCCCGAUUUCCAUUUCUGGGCCUUCUUUUAAAAAGUGAACACUAGAGAAAAACGUCCAUAACAAUAGUUCAAGACACAUUCUUCAGACACCACAAUGCCAUGAUGAUGUGGGUAAAUGAGAUUCUUCCAAUAAACAUGCUCAUGGCUAGAUAUUUGUUAAAUUUAAAAUAUUUUCCAGGCUGGGUGCAGUGGCUCAUUGUUGCAAUCUCAGCACUUUGGGAGGCUGAGGCAGGCAAAUUGCUUGAGCUCAGGAGUCUGAGACUAGCCUGGCUAACAUGGUGAGACCCUGUCUCUACAAAAAAUACAAAAAUUAGCUGGGCAUCAUGGUGCAUGCCUGCAGUCCCAGCUAUGUGGGAGGCAGAGGUAGGAAGAUUACCUGAGCCUGGGAGGUCGAGGCUGCAGUGAGCCAUGAUUGCACCAUUGCACUCCAGCCUGGGAGACAGAUCCACUUAAAGAUCCACUAACUUGCAGAGGUUUUCCAUAAAGAUACAUGAUAUCUGGUAUUUCACACCUAUUCAUAACUAGAAUAUGAGUCUGUAUCUUUCAGUGUUUCUUUUUUUCCUUUUGAGACAGGAUCUCACUCUUUUACCCAGGCUGGAGUGCAGUGGCAUGAUCUGGGUUCGCUGCAACCUUAACUUCUCCAGG